AGCAGAAGGGCAGUGGGUUGAUUUUGCGAGAGUGAGGAAGAUGAUGGGGAACAAAAAAGAAGCUGGUAUGAGCUGGAUCCAGGUCGAAAACCAGGUUUUUAGCUUCGCUGUGAGCGACAAAAUGUGUCCUAAUGCGAGUUCUGUGUAUUCAGUCUUAGGGCUAUUGAUAGAAGAGACCAAAGAAGCUGGCUAUGUUCCUGACUUAGACUCCUUAGUUCAUGAUCAAGAAGUCGGAACUUAAACAUGAUAUCAUAAUCUGGUUCUUGAUUUCGUCGUGAUCGAGUAAAAUGGAGAGGAUUUGGUAUAUUAAUGCGCUAGUGCUGUUGUUUGUUGUUAAGUUGUCGGUUGGAUUGAUGCUCAACGGCUUUUUCCGCUUAUUCAAUGACGCAAGACACAACUAACAAAGAUCACGAAAGUUAAUAUGAAUGACGUCAAAGGAUUGUUGAAGACCACUGAAACUGACAGUACCUGGACAAGUCUCUUUUAGGUAUGGCUCUAUGCAUACAUAUGGUAUUGGUGACUGUCCUACUUAUUGAAGAGCAAACAUCACCAUACCUCGAUUUAGAUCAGCCUCCAAGCAACUUUUAGAAAUCGUUGGGUAUGGAGUAACCUCUGAGUUUCCUUCAUUAAAAGCACAAGAUAUUGCUUUCUGCUGAAACGUUAACAUCAGAAGCUGUCCACUAGGUUCAGAUCUACACAAUUAAGAGCCUUAACUUUUUUCAUAGUUUCUUUUUUGAUAAUACAGAAUCUGCUUUUAUAAAGGAUAUAAAUUUUAUAGAUAUCUUUAGAUCCAAAUCUGAAAUUGUAUUAUCUUAUUGAUAAA